rnacentral:misc_RNA from 1 species
GAUGAAGAACGUAGCGAAAUGCGAUAAGUAAUGUGAAUUGCAGAAUUCAGUGAAUCAUCGAAUCUUUGAACGCACCUUGCGCUCCCUGGUAUUCCGGGGAGCACGCCUGUUCGAGUGUCGCGAUAUUCUUCAAGCCUUGGAUGGAUUUUUUUUUUGUCUGUCCUUGGGCUUGGUGGUUGGGCUCUGCCGUGUCCUUCAUUGGGACGGCUGGCCUUAAAAGCAUUAGCCGAUCCUCGUGUGGUACUGGUUCUACUCAGCGUGAUAACAAUCUGAUCGUUGAGGACAUCUUCUGGAUGGCCAGUCAUCAUUUGGGUUGCUUCUAAACCGGUUUCGCAGAUUGCUCAAUCUGUGUGCCACUUUUCAGCUUUGACCUCGAAUCAGGUGGGACUACCCGCUGAACUUAAGCAUAUCAAUAAGCGGAGGA